rnacentral:rRNA from 1 species
UACGUAGGGUGUAAGCGUUGUCCGGAAUUAUUGGGCGUAAAGAGCUCGUAGGCGGUUUGUUGCGUCGGCUGUGAAAUCCCGAGGCUCAACCUCGGGUCUGCAGUCGAUACGAGCAAACUAGAGUGUUGCAGGGGAGACUGGAAUUCCUGGUGUAGCGGUGAAAUGCGCAGAUAUCAGGAGGAACACCGGUGGCGAAGGCGGGUCUCUGGGCCGAUACUGACGCUGAGGAGCGAAAGCGUGGGGAGCAAACAGG